AGUGAACGCUGGCGGCGUGCCUAAUACAUGCAAGUCGAACGGAGUGGCGCACGGGUGAGAAAUAUAUAGCUACUCUGCCCCUUGCUGGAGGACAACAGUUAGAAAUGACUGCUUAUACUCCAUAGGAAGGGAUGGGACUAUAUCGUAUCAGCUAGUCGGGGGGGUAACGGCCUACCGAGGGUAUGACGCGUAACUGGUCUGAGGGGAUGAUCAGUCAGAUUGGAACUGAGGCACGGUCCAAACUCCGACGGCAGGAAGCAGUAGGGAAUAAUGCGCAAUGGGGGAAGCACUGACGCAGCAACGGCGCGGGGAGGAGGCCACUGGGUGGAGCGUAAACUCCUUUUGUUAGGGAAGCGGUACCUAACGAAGAAGCACCGGCUAACUCCGUGCCAGCAGCCGCGGUAAUAC
rnacentral:rRNA from 1 species